rnacentral:rRNA from 1 species
GACGAACGCUGGCGGCGUGCUUAACACAUGCAAGUCGAACGGAAAGGCCCUGCUUUUGUGGGGUGCUCGAGUGGCGAACGGGUGAGUAACACGUGAGUAACCUGCCCUUGACUUUGGGAUAACUUCAGGAAACUGGGGCUAAUACCGGAUAGGAGCUCCUGCUGCAUGGUGGGGGUUGGAAAGUUUCGGCGGGUGGGGAUGGACUCGCGGCUUAUCAGCUUGUUGGUGGGGGAGUGGCUUACCAAGGCUUUGACGGGUAGCCGGCCUGAGAGGGUGACCGGCCACAUUGGGACUGAGAUACGGCCCAGACUCCUACGUGAGGCAGCAGUGGGGAAUAUUGCACAAUGGGCGGAAGCCUGAUGCAGCAACGCCGCGUGCGGGAUGACGGCCUUCGGGUUGUAAACCGCUUUCGCCUGUGACGAAGCGUGAGUGACGGUAAUGGGUAAAGAAGCACCGGCUAACUACGUG